GAUCCUGGCUCAGGACGAACGCUGGCGGCGUGCUUAACACAUGCAAGUCGAACGGAAAGGCCCCCACCUUGGUGGGGGUGCUCGAGUGGCGAACGGGUGAGUAACACGUGGGUGAUCUGCCCUGUACUUCGGGAUAAGCUUGGGAAACUGGGUCUAAUACCGGAUAGGACCAUGGUUUAGUGUCUCAUGGUGGAAAAAUUAUUGUUUUGGUGCAGGAUGAGCUCGCGGCCUAUCAGCUUGUUGGUGGGGUAAUGGCCUACCAAGGCGUCGACGGGUAGCCGGCCUGAGAGGGUGGACGGCCACAUUGGGACUGAGAUACGGCCCAGACUCCUACGGGAGGCAGCAGUGGGGAAUAUUGCACAAUGGGCGCAAGCCUGAUGCAGCGACGCCGCGUGGGGGAUGACGGCCUUCGGGUUGUAAACUCCUUUCGUUAGGGACGAAGCCAUACUUUUUGGGUGUGGUGACGGUACCUUUGUUAAGAAGCACCGGCUAACUACGUGCCAGCAGCCGCGGUAAUACGUAGGGUGCGAGCGUUGUCCGGAAUUACUGGGCGUAAAGAGCUCGUAGGUGGUUUGUUGCGUCGUCUGUGAAAUUCCGGGGCUUAACUUCGGGGUGGCAGGCGAUACGGGCAUAACUAGAGUGCUGUAGGGGAGACUGGAAUUCCUGGUGUAGCGGUGGAAUGCGCAGAUAUCAGGAGGAACACCGAUGGCGAAGGCAGGUCUCUGGGCAGUAACUGACGCUGAGGAGCGAAAGCAUGGGGAGCGAACAGGAUUAGAUACCCUGGUAGUCCAUGCUGUAAACGGUGGGCGUUAGGUGUGGGGACCGGUUUGGUUUCUGUGCCGUAGCUAACGCAUUAAGCGCCCCGCCUGGGGAGUACGGCCGCAAGGCUAAAACUCAAAGGAAUUGACGGGGGC
rnacentral:rRNA from 1 species